rnacentral:rRNA from 1 species
UACGGAGGGAGCUAGCGUUGUUCGGAUAUACUGGGCGUAAAGCGCACGUAGGCGGCGCAGCAAGUCAGGGGUGAAAUCCCGGAGCUCAACUCCGGAACUGCCUUUGAGACUGAGUGGCUUGAGUACGAGAGAGGUGAGUGGAAUUCCCAGUGUAGAGGUGAAAAUUCGUAGAUAUUGGGAAGAACACCGGUGGCGAAGGCGGCGACCUGGUUCAUAACUGACGCUGAGGCGCGAAAGCGUGGGGAGCAAACAGG